UACGUAGGGGGCAAGCGUUGUCCGGAAUUAUUGGGCGUAAAGCGCGCGCAGGCGGUGGUUUAAGUUUGGUGUUUAAGGCUAGGGCUCAACCCUGGAACGCACUGAAAACUGGGCGACUGGAGUGCAGGAGAGGAAAGUGGAAUUCCACGUGUAGCGGUGAAAUGCGUAGAGAUGUGGAGGAACACCAGUGGCGAAGGCGACUUUCUGGCCUGUAACUGACGCUGAGGCGCGAAAGCGUGGGGAGCAAACAGG
rnacentral:rRNA from 1 species